UGUUGCCUCUGGUUAUCUGGCGAGCGAGGUCGAGGCUGGCCGCGAUGCAGACGACGCCGGGCGCGGAGGCGGCUAUCUCCGGCCAGAUCCGGUCGAGGAGGCGCGGCAGGGGCCGGAUCCUGUUCCGGCGACGGCGGGAUGCGAUCUACGAGGCGCAUGAGGAGGUCCAAUGGUGGGGCUUCAAUUCCAAGUUCAUCGCGGCGGCGUUCCUCACCGGUACUGAGCGAGAUGGCUAGCUCCGGCGAAGUCUCUCCAUCGAUACGGUGGCUCUGUACCUGUGAGAGACACAUAGGUGAGGGGAGAGGCAGGGAGGAGAGGGUGAGGAGCGGCGGGGAAGUCUUGGUGGUGCCCGCCUCCUACAGCAGCCCUCGUGAGUGCGGCCAAAGAGAGAGAGAUGAGAGAGAGCCAGGAGGAAGAAGGAAAGGAAGGAGACUUCAGGAAGGGGCGGCGGGAUCCUGCGGUGCUGGGUUCGAGCUCCGUUGGUGGUGCUACUGCUGCUGUUGGACAAUGGCCGAUGGGACUUGGUAAGAGGAAAACAUGUGCUGUGUUGGCACGUUUGAUGCAAAGCAGCCACCGUAAGUCCUUCUCCCUUCUCUGAUUAAUAUUGGGAUUCCAUUGCUAUUUGAUGGAGAGCAGCCACCAAAAAUUCCUCUCUUGAUGCAACGCUCCCUCCCUCCCUCCCUCCCUCUCGAAUCUGAUUCAUCACAAGAAUAUCAACAGACAACAUCCUACCUCCAGAAUGUUUGGGGCCCCUAGGUAUUUGACUGAAUAGCACGGGCUCGCGUGUGUAUGUCACCAUGACAAUACUACACUUCAAGAUUUCAUAAGUUUAAUUAUCUUUUGUGCAGAUAAGGAUGGCAGUAGAAGAGCUUGACGACAAUGAAUGACAACCAUAUGGAUAUUUUUUUAGUAGCCAAUGAAUAUAGGCCAGUGAGCCAUGGAUUUUGGUUUGCUCUUUUUCUCCUUUAUGUGAUGAGGCAAGGAACAUGCUAAAGGGGAUAUUGUCAAUGCUGCAUAAUUAUGUUGUAUGAUGUUUACAUAUUUUCGGACCUCAUCUCAGUAAAAUUCUGUAUUUAUUUUGUGGCCUAAUGGUGUUUAGUUCAUUUAACUUUUUCUGUUCAUAUACACGAAUAGCAGGAUUUCAGGCCAGUAGACUGUUAUACCAGCAGUUUCAUUUAACUUUUAUUCAUUAACAGUGAGAGUAAGAUAUCCUGACAAUUUGUCCGCUGGAAAAUCUUACGUACUAUUUGUUUCAUGUAGGUUCUGGAAUUGCUUGAGGCUGUACAGUUUAGAUGUCCAGACACUUCAAUGAAAUACUCUCAGUUGCUUUCAAAUCUGAGAGUUGGAUGGAAGCUUGAAGAGAUCCUAUAGAAUUCUGCAACAUCUGAAUUUGGUGGUGUAUAUUUUUUUCGGAGAGAGGUGAUCGACUGAUUGAUCUGGAUGCGUUCCAUCAAAAUCUUAUCCAAGUUGCGUGGUCAGCCCUGUUCAUAUUGGGUUUUGAGAUUAUUAUGUUCUUCAGAUUGCUUAUUUUGAAGUUCAGAUGUCACAAAAACUGCACAUGAUUGAGCGAGUCUAAGAAAGAAGAGCUAAAAGAAUCGUUCCAUCAUAUGCUGAAAUGGGCCCGGAGAUAUAACAAAAAUCUUGAAAUAGGAAGCCCAGCUUCACAUGUUAACUAGCUGGUCUGAAAUUCUUCAAAUGAGUUGUGUGUGUGCAUGACCACUUAAUCUUUUCAGUUGGAAAUUGGAUAUAGUAACCCGCUUGUUGUUAAUUUCAGCUAGCUGUAUCAAGAAGGAUGUCAUUGCUUGAGGAUUGUUCACAGUUAUUGUUUGAAGUCGACGACAAGUGCUAUCAUCAUGAUGCCAGACAAGUCGUUGUGCCAAUCCAAUGAGUUUCCAACAACGGAAAGUCAUCCGAAGAAUCAUGUCCCGGUGAGUAGUCCAGCUCCAGCAACAAGACCACAUCUGGUUUUCACCAAGAAGCUGGACCAGAGGCAUUGUACUCAGGACAAGUGUACUGAGGAAUAAGUAUGCAGAGAAGCUUUGAUUCAUCAUCAUCUACAUAUACUUAGAAUAUAACUCACAAGAAAAGCAAAAGCAAAAUGAUUGAAAAUCUAUUCUAUGCAAAACAACUCUUCCAUCAGAUGAAGAAUGGCAUGUUGGCUUCUUCGCGUCCGAACUUGAAGGGGUUAUGUAUUGCUAUACAGUGAACGGAACUACCAGUUUGCAUUAAGAUGGACUCAUUUUCAGCGGUGAAUAUUCUGAAUGGGAGGGACAUGGACAGGUCUGUGUAUGCUUCUUUGGUGGCGGAGAUCAAGCAUUUGAAGUCUCUUCGUAUGGCCCGUAUUACUUAUAUCAGCUGUUCUCAAAAUGUAGUUAGUGAUAUUUUAGCAAGUUUUGCAAAAACUGAAAGGAGAACUAUAGUCUGGCUCGGCUCCGCCCCCUCGAGGUCGUUGAUUUGUGUAAGGACGAGUGUAAGGUUGCUGCUUGAGUAAUACAAGUUUAUACUUUUUUUGCA